GACAGAGGGUGCAAACGUUGUUCGGAUUUACUGGGCGUAAAGCGCGUGUAGGCGGCCUUGCAAGUCGGAUGUGAAAGCCCACGGCUCAACCGUGGAAGUACAUCCGAAACUGCAUAGCUUGAGUCUCGGAGAGGAAGGUGGAAUGCUUGGUGUAGAGGUGAAAUUCGUAGAUAUCAAGCAGAACACCUGCGGCGAAGGCGGCCUUCUGGACGAUGACUGACGCUGAGACGCGAAAGCGUGGGGAGCAAACAGG
rnacentral:rRNA from 1 species